GGGGAUUUAGCUCAGUGGUAGAGCGCUUGCCUAGGAAGCGCAAGGCCCUGGGUUCGGUUCCCAGCUCCA
rfam:Rattus norvegicus chromosome 9, whole genome shotgun sequence.